AAGGGGGCGAGCGUAAGCAGCUCUCACUGAAGGAGGAGCCUGCGUCCGAUUAGCUAGUUGGUGGGGUAAAGGCCUACCAAGGCGACGAUCGGUAGCCGGCCUGAGAGGGCGAUCGGCCACACUGGAACUGAGACACGGUCCAGACUCCUACGGGAGGCAGCAGUGGGGAAUAUUGCGCAAUGGGCGAAAGCCCGACGCAGCGACGCCGCGUGGGUGAUGAAGGCCUUCGGGUCGUAAAGCCCUGUCGGGUGGAACGAAUCACCUGGUGGUAAAUACCCACCGGGUUUGACGGUACCACCGAAGGAAGCCCCGGCUAACUACGUGCCAGCAGCCGCGGUAAUACGUAGGGGGCGAGCGUUGUUCGGAUUUACUGGGCGUAAAGCGCGCGUAGGCGGCCAGGUAAGUCGGGUGUGAAAGCCCUCGGCUCAACCGAGGAUCCGCACCCGAAACUGCCCGGCUGGAGUCUAGGAGAGGAGAGCGGAAUUCCCAGUGUAGCGGUGAAAUGCGUAGAUAUUGGGAGGAACACCGGUGGCGAAGCGGCUCUCUGGACUAGUACUGACGCUGAGGCGCGAAAGCUAGGGGAGCGAACGGGAUUAGAUACCCCGGUAGUCCUAG
rnacentral:rRNA from 1 species